rnacentral:lncRNA from 1 species
ACGGUUCCAACGCCCGAGCCCAGCGGGCUUGGGCCUCCGCUGUCGGGCCAGGCUAGUUGCUCCGGGGCUGGGAGUUACGGCACCGGGGUUGGGGCGGAGAAGACGAACUAGUUCAACUCGACCCGGUUAAGCAAGCGCAGCAGUGUGUGUUCUUGGAUCAUAGUAUUUCAUGUAAACAUUUUGAUUUAAGAGAAACAAAAGGGAAAAUAUUAACCGUUUUCAAGCAUCCAAAGGCGAAAUGCUUCAUCUCUGGGAUGGAGUAGAGGAGUAGCCUCUGCGGUUGAGUUGCAGUCGUGGGUGCAAGAAGCAGCGCUGAAGCAGAGUGCAGCCCCGGAAUAGGGCGGGAUGGAAUGGCCUGGGCAGUUCAGAAACCCGCGAGGAGUCCAGGGCGGAACAGAAGGGGACACAUAGAUAAAUGUGCACAGAGGGAAGAAGGCCAUUUGGAGAUAGAAGCAGGGAUUGGAGUGAUGCAACUGGAAGCCAAGAAACGCCGCAGAAUGCCAGGAGCCAGCAGAAGCUAAGAAAAGGCAAAGAAGGAUUAUUCCAAAGUGCCUUCCGAAGAAGGUUGGCCCUGCCAAAAACCUGAUUUCAGACUUCUAGCCCCCAAAACUGCAAGAGAAUAAAUUUUGUUGUUUCAA